AUAAAGCCGAAUCCAGCUCAGGUACGGGGGAACCGCAUAUCGGGGUGAAUUUCCCAGCGUGGGAAGAGGGAUCCUCUAACCCUAACCCGUCAGCUAACCUCGGAGGCUUCGAGAGGG
rnacentral:sRNA from 1 species